rnacentral:rRNA from 1 species
UGGUGGGUAGUUUGACUGGGGCGGUCUCCUCCUAAAGAGUAACGGAGGAGCACGAAGGUUGGCUAAUCCUGGUCGGACAUCAGGAGGUUAGUGCAAUGGCAUAAGCCAGCUUGACUGCGAGCGUGACGGCGCGAGCAGGUGCGAAAGCAGGUCAUAGUGAUCCGGUGGUUCUGAAUGGAAGGGCCAUCGCUCAACGGAUAAAAGGUACUCCGGGGAUAACAGGCUGAUACCGCCCAAGAGUUCAUAUCGACGGCGGUGUUUGGCACCUCGAUGUCGGCUCAUCACAUCCUGGGGCUGAAGUAGGUCCCAAGGGUAUGGCUGUUCGCCAUUUAAAGUGGUACGCGAGCUGGGUUUAGAACGUCGUGAGACAGUUCGGUCCCUAUCUGCCGUGGGCGCUGGAGAACUGAGGGGGGCUGCUCCUAGUACGAGAGGACCGGAGUGGACGCAUCACUGGUGUUCGGGUUGUCAUGCCAAUGGCACUGCCCGGUAGCUAAAUGCGGAAGAGAUAAGUGCUGAAAGCAUCUAAGCACGAAACUUGCCCCGAGAUGAGUUCUCCCUGAGACUUAAAGUCUCCUGAAGGAACGUUGAAGACGACGACGUUGAUAGGCCGGGUGUGUAAGCGCAG